rnacentral:rRNA from 1 species
GAUGAACGCUGGCGGCGUGCCUAAUACAUGCAAGUCGAGCGAACAGACGAGGAGCUUGCUCCUCUGACGUGAGCGGCGGACGGGUGAGUAACACGUGAAUAACCUACGUAUAAGACUAGGAUAACUUCGGGAAACCGGAGCUAAUACAGGAUAAUAUAUUAAACCGCAUGGUUCAAUAGUGAAAGACGGUUUUGCUGUCACUUAUAGAUGGAUCCGCGCCGCAUUAGCUAGUUGGUAAGGUAACGGCUUACCAAGGCGACGAUGCGUAGCCGACCUGAGAGGGUGAUCAGCCACACUGGAACUGAGACACGGUCCAGACUCCUACGGGAGGCAGCAGUAGGGAAUCUUCGGCAAUGGGCGAAAGCCUGACGGAGCAACGCCGCGUGUGUGAAGAAGGCCUUCGGAUCGUAAAACACUGUUAUUAGGGAAGAACAACUGUGUACGUAAAUAUGCACGUGUUGACGGUACCUAAUCAGAAAGCAACGGCUAACUACGUG